rnacentral:rRNA from 1 species
AUUGAACGCUGGCGGCAGGCCUAACACAUGCAAGUCGAGCGGCAGCGGGAAAGUAGCUUGCUACUUUUGCCGGCGAGCGGCGGACGGGUGAGUAAUGCCUGGGAAAUUGCCCAGUCGAGGGGGAUAACAGUUGGAAACGACUGCUAAUACCGCAUUCGCCCUACGGGGGAAAGCAGGGGACCUUCGGGCCUUGCGCGAUUGGAUAUGCCCAGGUGGGAUUAGCUAGUUGGUGAGGUAAUGGCUCACCAAGGAGACGAUCCCUAGCUGGUCUGAGAGGAUGAUCAGCCACACUGGACCUGAGACACGGUCCAGACUCCUACGGGAGGCAGCAGUGGGGAAUAUUGCACAAUGGGGGAAACCCUGAUGCAGCCAUGCCGCGUGUGUGAAGAAGGCCUUCGGGUUGUAAAGCACUUUCAGCGAGGAGGAAAGGUUGAUGCCUAAUACGUAUCAACUGUGACGUUACUCGCAGAAGAAGCACCGGCUAACUCCGUGCCAGCCGCCGCAGUAA